rnacentral:rRNA from 1 species
UGGGGAAUAUUGGGCAAUGGGCGAAAGCCUGACCCAGCCAUGCCGCGUGAGUGAUGAAGGCCUUCGGGUCGUAAAGCUCUGUGGGGAGGGAAGAAAAUACCUUGGCUAAUAUCCAAGGGAACUGACGGUACCUCCUUAGCAAGCACCGGCUAACUCCGUGCCAGCAGCCGCGGUAAUACGGAGGGUGCAAACGUUGCUCGGAAUCAUUGGGCGUAAAGCGCACGUAGGCGGUCCGUUAAGUCGGAUGUGAAAGCCCUGGGCUCAACCCAGGAAGAGCAUUCGAAACUGGCGGACUGGAGUAUGGAAGAGGGUCGCGGAAUUCCCGGUGUAGAGGUGAAAUUCGUAGAUAUCGGGAGGAACACCAGUGGCGAAGGCGGCGACCUGGGCCAAUACUGACGCUGAGGUGCGAAAGCGUGGGGAGCAAACAGGAUUAGAUACCCAAGUAGUCCCUGAGCGGGCUGGCAAGGCGCAU